UGUAAAUCUACAUUUAACACGCUUUUUUUUUCUUUGCAUCUAAUCUAACUGCAUAGAUGAAGAUAUAUUUCUUUUACGAGAAUGUAAACGUUACUGUAUGGUUUUCCGUUAUACAAUAAUAAAGGAAAGCCUUUCAGAAACAAAAAGCAAGGCCAAUGACACUACCUCCAGCUGAAACAACAUUCCCAGUGAGCAGCCGAAAAUUCCAGGCUCACAUGGGUCUCACGAGCCACAUAAGGAGGCACAAAGCCCCAGUAAAGAGAGUGACAUGGUCUCCAUAUGGAAUCACGAUAGACGUACUAUAUAUAUA